GCGUCGGUGGUUCAGUGGUAGAAUACUCGCCUGCCACGCGGGUGGCCCGGGUUCGAUUCCCGGCAGACGCA
rnacentral:tRNA from 1 species